UAGAAAAUAACAUUGUCAGUCAGCCACGCUGUCCUCAGAUACAAUGGACAAUAUGCUAUUAUAAUUGCACGGCAUUGUCCUUGCUGUUUGGAGAUAAUACUGUUGACAGUAUUCCUCUCAUACAUGU
rnacentral:precursor_RNA from 13 species